UGUUCACAGUCUAUCCAGUUGGACCAUUUGAUGAGAACCAAUUCCUUGCAGCUAUUUCCCCGAUUUUGGGACAAAACCACCAAUCAAAUUUCCAUUGUCCAUCUACCCUAUCUGCAAAACAUAUAAAAUUUCCAGAUAAAGUUCAUGAAUUGUCUGAUUUUGUGUUUACUUACUUGACUGUUGCAAAUUAUUGAAUCUACUGGAAGGUUCUAGGUCCUGACAUGCUUUCUUUGUCUUUCAAAUGGCUUGUUGUAACUACUUGUAGCGCCUGCUCAAGCUCAAGAAAGUCAGCCUGCUCAGUCCACUAAUAAUCUUCUUGGAAAAGUUGUUAGUUUCAAACCAACCCAACACCAGAUAUAAGUGAGCUUCUUCGAACUACCAAUAUUCCUUGAGGACGGCGAGGUAGGAAGGGCGAUAGCCAACCAACAGGAACUACUUCCCAGAUUACAAGUAAAAGGAUCACUCCUCAAUCUUGCACUGCUCCAUCCUUGUCUGUAAGGCAGACUGAUCCCGUCCACCAUAUCAAGUGGAAAGGUUUCAUGGAAGAAUCCCCUUAACCAAAGAAAGAGAAAUGUGGUUUAUGCAAAAUGAAUAUCGAACUUGUACCAAUAGGUUCUCAGUCCCAAGCUUCCAGUCAUCAAAAACCUGCAGUUUUGCCAUGAAGGCAUACUUUUCAUGCUGACUGUUUAGAGCUCAUCACCACCAAGGAGCAGUCAAAAGACCCUUCAUGCAUUUCUUGUGCCCUUGGCGAUGUCCCAAGCCCUCCCAAAUGACUGCCCACUCAUUCACUUAUUUUGUUUCUCUUAUGAAAAUUUUGUUCUGUAGUUUGUUGGCAGCAGCUGAAUAGUGGUGGAAAGGAUAUACCAACAAAUGUAGAUAGGUGAUAUAUUGAAAUUGAGUCUGAUAACAGUGUGUACAUAAUCUGUAAAUCCUUAUACCAGGAGUCUCUUGAUUAAUUGGGAAUAGAUUCAGCUUACAGAGAGAGCAAAUUUAUACAAAACUUUUUUA